AUAUAUAUAAUUAUUUAUUUUUUAAUUAGAAUUCACUUCUUCCCACUCUCUGAUCUGUGGUGACUACCCCAGGAGAAAAGAUGUCCAGGAAGGUGCUCUGAUGAAGAUGUUUUGAGCUACAGGACAGAGUCAGGCCUUGGAAAAGAGGCAGAAAGCAGCAAAUCUCAACCUAAACCUAGAAAAAAAUACAUUGCAGAAGAAUCCAUAGGCUUCAUCAUACUGCCAAAAGGAUCCAUGACACAGAAAAAGAUGAAAAAUGUUUGGAAUAUGAUCUAGAGUCGUGAUUUGGGGGGGGGCCUAAGGAACUCCUGGGUGAGAAAUCACCUCCCAGUGCAAGUCAGUAUCUCCUCUGAAACUUAUAGCCUUGGAGACUUGCCCAGAGAGGAGAGAAGG